AUUAACCAGACGAAGAGGAGGAAAGACAUACUCCUUGAUCUUUUUCUCUUUGUGUAUAUUUGUGAUUUAAAAAAAAAAGUCAAUAAAUUUAGGAUUUUAAUUGGAGGAGUAAACAAAUAUUAAUAUUGAAAUUUAGAAUUUUAAUUCUUUUCGUUUUCUUAUGAAGAUUUAUUAUUAUUUAUCCACUUCUAAUUUUUUUUGUGGUUAUCAUUUGAUUCCUUUCUAUCGUCGUUUUAACCGACUUUUCAACAGUCAGCGAUUUUCCUUCCACGCCAAAUUCACCUCUGUGUCUCUGAGCUUUUCGCUAUGGAUCUGGUUUUCCGAAAUUGCAUAAACGCAUCAUCUUUCUCCUCUGAGAAUCACAGAAAUGUACACCCACGUUCCAAGAUUUCACACUCAACGUCUCAAAGAAGGAACAGAUGGUCGCCGAUUCGAGUUUCGAGUCUCGCAGCGGCGUCCACAGCUGAAAAUUCCAGAAAUGGAACCGCCACAGCAACUAGGACCAAUAGGAGCAUAGCGUCUACCACUGAGAAUGACAACAAAGCUUCUUUACGGUUACUAGGCAAGUCUAGCGCCGCCCUGGAACAACUCGACAUCGAGCGCGGAGUCUGCGUGCCGUUUCGAAAGUACUCUCCCGAGACAGUGAGGAAUAAGGUAUUGGAAUCCAGAGCAUCUAUAGUGUCUCUAAUGUUACGUGGAGUGGAAAUAGUGUGGAAUUUGGGAUUGUACUGGUCUGCCUUGAUGUAUGAUUGCUUGGUAGGAAGGGAUAAAGAGGUUGUUCCAUAUCGUGCUCGUCAGCUGAGAAACCUCUUGUGCGAUUUAGGACCUUCUUUUAUCAAAGCUGGGCAGGUUCUCGCCAACAGACCUGAUAUCAUUAGAGAAGAUUACAUGAAUGAGCUCUGCAUUCUUCAAGAUGAUGUUCCUCCUUUCCCCAAUCAGGUUGCUUUCAAAAUUAUAGAAGAGGAAUUGGGCCAACCUCUGGAAGCUGUAUUCACCAAAAUUUCAUCACAAACAAUAGCAGCUGCAAGCUUGGGUCAAGUUUACCGAGCUACCUUACGAGAUACAGGCGAGGAUGUUGCAAUUAAGGUGCAAAGGCCUGAGAUAGAACCUAUAAUCUACCGGGACCUUUUUCUUUUCAGAACUCUUGCUUCAUUCCUAAAUGGUAUCAGCUUACAGAAACUGGGAUGCAAUGCUGAGCUGAUAGUUGAUGAAUUUGGUGAGAAACUUUUGGAGGAGCUUGAUUACACCUUGGAAGCUCGGAAUAUUGAAGAUUUUCUGGAAAACUUCAAAGAUGAUCCUACCGUUAAAAUUCCUCUGGUUUACAGAAAUCUUUCUGGUUCCCGUGUUUUAGUAAUGGAGUGGAUAGAUGGUAUUCGGUGCACAAACCCACAGGCUAUCAAGGAAGCUGGCAUUGACGUAAAUGGAUUUUUAACAGUUGGGGUGAGUGCUGCUUUGCGGCAAUUGCUAGAGUUUGGGUUAUUUCAUGGAGACCCACAUCCUGGGAAUAUUUUUGCUAUGCGAGAUGGACGUAUUGCAUAUGUGGACUUUGGGAAUGUUGCAGUUCUUAGUCAGCAAAAUAAGCAAAUACUGAUUGAUGCUGUUGUGCAUGCUGUAAAUGAGGACUAUGUUGAGAUGGCAAAUGAUUUCACUAGGCUUGGCUUCUUGGCCAGUGGAACUGAUGUCUCUCCCAUCAUUCCAGCUUUGGAAGCAAUUUGGCAGAAUUCAGUUGGGAAAGGACUUUCUGAUUUUAAUUUCAGAAUUGUUACAGGGAAAUUUAACCAGUUGGUUUACAAUUAUCCCAUCCGUAUACCAGAGCGAUUUUCCCUUGUUAUCCGUUCUUUAUUGACUCAAGAGGGCAUCUGUUUCACCCUGAAGCCAGAUUUUAAAUUUCUUGAGGUUGCCUACCCAUAUGUGGCAAAGCGCCUACUAACAGACCCAAAUCCAGCUCUUCGUGAACGCCUAAUACAGGUUUUGUUUAAAGAUGGUGUUUUCCAGUGGAAACGGCUUGAAAACCUUAUUGUUCUUGCAAAGGAGAAUGUAGCUAGGAUGAGCAGCAACCCUGCAUUGCAAGUAAAGAAUAUGCGAAAUUCAAGAAACUUGCAUGUGGAAAGGAAGCUAGAUCUGACAGACACUAUAAAAGAUGGAGCUCGCCUUUUCUUUACUGACGAAGGAAUUCGUAGACAGCUGCUUUUGGCGCUGACUGAAGAUUCAAAGCUUCACAUUGAAGAGUUGGGAUUCGUUAGUCUUUAUUCUGAAAUGACAUUUGCCUUCUGUAGCUUGUAGAUGUUUAUAGACUGGUUGAGGAUGAAUUAGAUAUACCUUCAGUAGCUGUUGAAGUUGUACGAGACUUUCCAAAUGUUAUCCGGGAUCUCAUGCUUUCAUGGUGUGACUCGGUCUUAUCUGACAGAUGAUUAAUGCUUGGUGUGGCAGCAUGUAUAAAAAUUUGCAAGUUUGAAUUAAACUAUACAGGCCAACGAAAGGCUUCUAAGUUCUACCUUUCUUCUUUUGCGGUGAGGAAUUUUUUUCAAGUUGUAAAUGCCAAGCGAAAAAACAUUAUUUGUUACGAGAGGAAAGAAGAUCUCCAUGCAAUGUGGUUUCCUUUAGACAAUA